rnacentral:rRNA from 1 species
GAUGAACGCUGGCGGCGUGCCUAAUACAUGCAAGUCGAGCGAACAGACGAGAGUGCUUGCACUCUCUGACGUUAGCGGCGGACGGGUGAGUAACACGUGGGUAACCUACCUAUAAGACUGGGAUAACUUCGGGAAACCGGAGCUAAUACCGGAUAAUAUUUAGCUUCGCAUGAAGCAAUAGUGAAAGACGGUUCUGCUGUCACUUAUAGAUGGACCCGCGGUGUAUUAGCUAGUUGGUGAGGUAACGGCUCACCAAGGCAACGAUACAUAGCCGACCUGAGAGGGUGAUCGGCCACAAUGGGACUGAGACACGGCCCAGAGUCCUACGGGAGGCAGCAGUAGGGAAGCUUCCGCAAUGGACGAAAGUCUGAAGGAGCAAUGCCGCGUGAGUGAAGAAGGUUUUCGGAUCGUAAAACUCUGUUGUAAGGGAAGAACAAGUACGUUAGUAACUGAACGUACCUUGACGGUACCUUACCAGAAAGCCACGGCUAACUACGUG